rnacentral:tRNA from 1 species
GCCCGGGUGGCUCAGUCGGUUAAGCGUCCGACUUCGGCUCAGGUCAUCAUCCCGCGGUUCGUGAGUUCGAACCUCGCGUCGGGCU